rnacentral:misc_RNA from 1 species
GCAAUCCCAUAAACCGUGGCUCAGUUCAGAUCGUAGGCUGCAACUCGCCUACGUGAAGGCGGAAUCGCUAGUAAUCGCAGGUCAGCAUACUGCGGUGAAUACGUUCCCGGGCCUUGUACACACCGCCCGUCACACCAUGGAAGUUGGCCACGCCCGAAGCCGUUACUCCAACCCUUGUGGAGGAGGACGUCGAAGGUGGGGCUGAUGACUGGGGUGAAGUCGUAACAAGGUAUCCGUACCGGAAGGUGCGGAUGGAUCACCUCCUAACAGGGAGACAACACAAUGAUUUUGAUGCCUGAGUGCUUUUAUUCUUAGGCCGAAAUCCUGUCACCUUAGGUCGAUCGGUACCUCAGCUUUGAAGUCAAGGAUCAGCAGCAAUGUUGAUUGCUUGAUGGAGAUUUUCAGUUCCUAAACUUUGUCUAGGUCACACCCCAAAAGGGAUGAGACUCCUGGGCCAUUAGCUCAGGUGGUUCGAGCGCACCCCUGAUAAGGGUGAGGUCCCUGGUUCAAGUCCAGGAUGGCCCAUUCGGUGUUGGGGGUUUAGCUCAGUUGGUAGAGCGCCUGCUUUGCAAGCAGGAUGUCAGGAGUUCGAGUCUCCUAACCUCCACUGAUCGAACUCAAUCUCCAUCGUCGCAAUGAUGGAAGGUGAACUCGAGGUGAUGUGAUUUAGAUGUGUCCGCUGGCAUGACCCCAGCUUCCUGUCAUUCCAAAAUCAAGUGAGAAAUCACGAGAUGUUUGGUUGAUAAGAUG